AUUGAACGCUGGCGGCAGGCCUAACACAUGCAAGUCGAGCGGAUGAAGGGAGCUUGCUCCUGGAUUCAGCGGCGGACGGGUGAGUAAUGCCUAGGAAUCUGCCUGGUAGUGGGGGAUAACGUCCGGAAACGGGCGCUAAUACCGCAUACGUCCUGAGGGAGAAAGUGGGGGAUCUUCGGACCUCACGCUAUCAGAUGAGCCUAGGUCGGAUUAGCUAGUUGGUGGGGUAAAGGCCUACCAAGGCGACGAUCCGUAACUGGUCUGAGAGGAUGAUCAGUCACACUGGAACUGGAACAGGGUCCAGACUCCUACGGGAGGCAGCAGUGGGGAAUAUUGGACAAUGGGCGAAAGCCUGAUCCAGCCAUGCCGCGUGUGUGAAGAAGGUCUUCGGAUUGUAAAGCACUUUAAGUUGGGAGGAAGGGCAGUAAGUUAAUACCUUGCUGUUUUGACGUUACCAACAGAAUAAGCACCGGCUAACUUCGUG
rnacentral:rRNA from 1 species